ACUCAAAUGAAUUGACGGGGACCCGCACAAGCGGUGGAUUAUGUGGAUUAAUUCGAUGCAACGCGAAAAACCUUACCUACCCUUGACAUGCUAGGAAGCCCGCAGAGAUGUGGGUGUGCCCGAAAGGGAACCUAGACACAGGUGCUGCAUGGCUGUCGUCAGCUCGUGUCGUGAGAUGUUGGGUUAAGUCCCGCAACGAGCGCAACCCUUGCCAUUAGUUGCUACAUUCAGUUGGGCACUCUAAUGGGACCGCCGGUGACAAACCGGAGGAAGGUGGGGAUGACGUCAAGUCCUCAUGGCCCUUAUGGGUAGGGCUUCACACGUAAUACAAUGGUCGGUACAGAGGGCUGCCAACCCGCAAGGGGGAGCUAAUCCCAGAAAGCCGAUCGUAGUCCGGAUUGUAGUCUGCAACUCGACUGCAUGAAGCCGGAAUCGCUAGUAAUCGCGGAUCAGCAUGUCGCGGUGAAUACGUUCCCGGGUCUUGUACACACCGCCCGU
rnacentral:rRNA from 1 species